UACAGGGGGUGCAAACGUUGCUCGGAAUUAUUGGGCGUAAAGCGCGCGUAGGCGGCUACUUAAGUCGGAUGUGAAAGCCCUUGGCUCAACUGAGGAAGUGCACCCGAAACUGAGUAGCUGGAGUACGAAAGAGGGUCGCGGAAUUCCCGGUGUAGAGGUGAAAUUCGUAGAUAUCGGGAGGAACACCGGUGGCGAAGGCGGCGACCUGGGUCGAUACUGACGCUGAGGCGCGAAAGCUAGGGGAGCAAACAGG
rnacentral:rRNA from 1 species